UUUCUUGAACCUUCCUUUACAUCUCUCAGUUUCCAAACUCAUUUUCGCCAACCCUACUUCUUUCCCGCGUCGUUUAUCUACGUUUCUUGGAUUUCAGUUCGCGUCUUGAAGCCUUCGCGUCUCGAACGUUGUUCUUCACGUUUUCUGCAUUUCAAACAAGACGUGGAGUUCUCGCGCAAGGAGCAUGGCAAAGGAGGAGAUUUAGGUUCGGUUUUGGUAGAGAGGAAACGCAAGUUUCGGCGGCCAGGCGCGACCUCCAUCCUUACCGUGCGUGGUGGGUACCACGGCGGUGACGUCUUCACAGCGCAGGGAUGGGCUUCGCCAAAUAGGGGAGAUACAUGUUUCGACCAUGGUGUUUGUAUGCAAGAGCAACAAUUGAUCACUGGAACAUUAUGAUGAUCGAGCUUAAUUAAGACAAUAAAGAUUUUUAUCUCAACAUGAAACUUUGCUCUGUUAUCUUCACAUGAAAGGCUUCAGAGGAAUGAAUGGAUUUACUUUUAGAACAUAUUUCAAUUACAAUAUAUAGGAUUCGUACGUACUUCGUUUCUUUGGUAGCACCUUGAAUAAUAUUAAAGUCAACAGUUCUAGACAGAUUUGUAUUAAUGUAAAGUUUCAAACUUACCCCUACUUAUGAUCUUGGUGUCAAAAGUUGCAUCCAUAAAGCUAUCUUCCCUUCUCUUUUACUUAAAUAUUUUUAAUUCAUUUUUUUAAUCUCUUAUUGAUUAGCUCCUUCAUCUUCUACCCAGAAUAAUUAUAUUAUUUUUGUAUGCAAGGGCUUUACAGGGAAACUAAAAUGAAGUUGGUGCAAAGUGUGCAAACGGUGGGUGGUAGGAAGGUUUGGGAAGCAGUGGUUGGAUAUCCAGGGAAACUUUAGGUAACAAUUUGCUUUCAGGACGCAAAAGAUCAUUGUAGGCAGCUUUCUUUGAAGUCUGAACCUGAACGUAACCAUAACCCAACUAAAAGAAAGACAACUCCAAAUGCAUUUCAUCUCCACACAGAGGAAAGAGGUGCUGAGAAAGAGAAGAAAUUGAUCAUGGAACUUCUGCACAAAGAGUUGGAGGAGGAAAUAGCAAGGAUUCCCAAGGCUAAUCCAUACCCUUACACCACCGAUUAUCUUGUGAUCCCACCAAAACCAUGAUAGUUAGAAAUUUGAUUAAUUGGUUGAAUACCCAAAUUUAUAUAAAGAUCCAAAUUAAUUGGUUGAGCACGAUACCACGCCUUACGUAUCUUUUCCAUCAACCUUGUUUUCCUUCAUUCUCCUGUUGCUUUUUAGUGCUGGUUUGGUAUCAUUCUGAGAGCAGGAAGCACUUCAACCCCAAGUUUGAAAAAUGUUUAUUACUGGUUUUUUCUUCUUGUUAUAUUAAUAUGUUUUGGUUUUGAAGGUGCUUUGUUCAUGUUGCAUCUUAGUCUCCCCUGUCCUAUUAAGGGACAACAUAUUUGGUAGGACUAACGUGUGGUAAUGGGCUACCAAGAGUUUCACUUCCCAAAAUGGCAAAGUCUAUGAUUUAUUGCUAAUGAAUGUCACUUGGUAAAACGGUAUAUGAUAGAUGAACCAUAUCAAAUGACGAUGAAAAUGAUGAACAAGAAUAAUGAUGAAAAUGAAGAACAAGAAUGAUGAUGAAAAUGAAGAACAAGCAUGAUAAUUAUUAUUCAGAAUAUUUUUUGAUUUGUUAUGUAAAAGAUGUUUAUUUUUAAUUUUUAGGAUUGAACAUAUAUUAUUUCUUAAGUUGAAAAAUUAAUUGUUUUUAAAAUUUUAGAGUUUAUUUUAUAUUAUAAUAAUUACUUUUGGUUUUUA